UUGCUAGCGAUGGGAUACGUAUGAUAUGUUUGAACGCUAUAAGAGGUCGGCUGAUGGAGUCUUCACCGUGGAGUCCUUGUGACCGCUCAAAAUGGAGACAAAUUACAUUUGGUCGCAAUCCUCAGCAAUGAGGGAACUAGCAAGAAGAUGGUGUUACAAAGCGCUGUAAUUUUUGUGAUAUCAAAAUUGCCAAAUGGUAGCAAAAAACAAUUUAGUUACCGCAACUGUACGACAAUCGCCAUCUAUUUCAGAUAUUAAAGGCAAUACACGAUUUCUUCAAUGUUUACGUCGACUAUAGUUAAAUUUUGUAUGUAAUCAGGUUAGAUUAAUUAUUUAAUUGUUGUAAAUUGUAAAGGUGUUAUGUGUGUCGCACAUGGGUGUAGUCAGAUGAGAUUUUUCUCUGUUUUCGUCGGUUUAGUGUGAUGACAUGAUGAGUUACAGUUCAUUUACAUUAGAUCUAAAUCACUCUUAGCCUGUUAUUGGGCUGUCUAAUGGGCCCUCACACAAGGACCGGUUUUUUACUAAUAUGAUUAUUCUAAAAAUAUUUUUUCUGCUCUAUACAACCCAACCGAGGUUUGAACCCACGAUAUUUGACCACCACACACACAUAUGAAAGGUUAAAUAAUCGCAAAUAACCAAAAAAAGUGAUUUUGGUUUGAAUGUAAAUGAACAGGAGUGUACACUCAGUUUGUUGUACCUGAUUAUCGCACAACUUGUCCGACGAUCAGUCUAGAUAAUGAUCUCGUUUUAGGAUUGCGACGCGCAUCUUUAAGGCCAGAUUUUAUAAAGUUCCCUUAGAUGUUAUCUCAAAAAUGUACUGAUUAUUUGAUUUAUCAUAAGCCUUAAUACCUAAGGGAUCCUUAUAGAACCGAGGCUUAUACUACUUAUUUUAAUCUAUGGAUUUAUGUUAUAUGAAACUUCAUGCUUAAACUGAAAUACCGAGUAGCCACUAGGGUUGUGUCCCCAAGUACAUUCUCAGUGUUGUAUGGGGAUACGUUAUUGCUCGAAAAUCUUGUUAACGGAUUAUUAGUUAACUGUGUGGAUGAUACUAUGAUCGUAUCGUAUUCAGGAAUUACAUUAUAUUGUUUUAUUCGUUUUCGUGAUGCGUUUGUAAUUUUAUUCCAAACUUCCAAAGAGUAAAAACUAUAUCACCAUCAUAUUUAAGAAUACAGCGAAUAUGUACAGCGUAAGCUGACUGUACCAGGAUUAUGAAGUUGAUUUAUAAACUGUCAGGCUCUUCCAAUCAUUAAUAAAAUCAGAAUACUAAAUGUACAAUUGAUGAAAUGAAUGAUGAUUCCAUGCUGCUUUCACUAUUAUAAUUGAGCACUGAGGCGAGGGCAAAGCGGUAAAACCCGAGUCAAGUAAAUAAAACAAGGCUAGCAGGUUUUACAUCUUAAUUUCACUAUCGUAAUUUGUCCAAUUAAGACAACUAUUGAAAUUAUUGAAUGCCAAAUCCAUUGUAUAAUAGAUUUCUUAUACAGGGCUGGAAACUUAAAGGGAUAUAUCGUAAUAUCAUAAAUGUUGAAACUAUGAAUGUUUUGUAUAAAAAAUAUAUUUUAAAAGCACCAUUAUAUGUAAAUAAAGAAUAAUACAUACCAAGGGAUUACCCACCUCUCGAUAGCUUUCUCCUUCAUUCAGAUGUCACCGGCGGUAACUGUAAUAGUUGAAACCUAAUCAAUGGAAUUUGUGUUUUCGAAGUAUGACUUAUUGUUGUAUAAACAAUGAUGCCUUUUUAUAUGAUAGCGUACGUCAGUACCUUAUUUUAUUAUAGUAGGUAUUCGGUUAAUUUCUUAUAUUGUUAUCCUAGUGGUUCUUUGUAAUUAUGAAACAUACUUUUUGAAAUUGCAUAUUAUUUCCAUUCCAGCCGUUUGACGCUGACUUUGUACAGAUUUCAUGUAAAUUAAAUCCCGGUUAUACAAAAUAUUACGGGAUAAUAUAUAAAUUGCAUUUAUAAUAUAUAACGCGAUGUUGGAAUUGUAAUAAGUUAUAUAAUGUAAAAAUAUGUUUUUUAAUUAUUGUUUGUAAUAAAAUGUUUUAUGAUUGAAAAA